rnacentral:rRNA from 1 species
UACGUAGGGGGCAAGCGUUAUCCGGAUUUACUGGGUGUAAAGGGAGCGUAGGUGGCGAUGCAAGUCUGAUGUGAAAACCCGGGGCUCAACCCCGGGACUGCAUUGGAAACUGUGUUGCUAGAGUGCAGGAGAGGUAAGUGGAAUUCCUAGUGUAGCGGUGAAAUGCGUAGAUAUUAGGAGGAACACCAGUGGCGAAGGCGGCUUACUGGACUGUAACUGACACUGAGGCUCGAAAGCGUGGGGAGCAAACAGGAUUAGAUACC